AUCCCUCUGGCUGAAGAAUCACGAAAUCGGCGGCCCUUAUAUGGUCAACAGCGCCUUCGCCAUAUGCAGUGGAAAGCCGGGUCUCAAUGUCCGAGAGUUCAUAUCCUCCAGCGGAUGUGGACUUCGGGAAUUCCUUCCUGAAGGCUGCGAAGUUGAAACCGAUGGAUGUAAUCUCAGCCGCGGGGAACGCAUCUAGAAUUUGUUGCUUGAGACCCUGGCUCGUCAGUCGGCAUCCGAUAUUGACCCUAAAGUCUGUAUCGUUGAACAGAGCAAUCUUGAUUUUCGAGCCGGACACUUCUUGCUGUCGGCAGGAGCUU
rnacentral:sRNA from 1 species